GUGCUUGCUUCAUCAGCAUAUACACUGAAAUUGGAACAAAACAGAGAUUAGCAUGGCCCCUGUGCAAGGAUAACACACAAAUCGUGAACUGUUCCUAUUUUUA